AAGUCGUAACAAGGUUUCCGUAGGUGAACCUGCGGAAGGAUCAUUAAAAAAUAUACAAUAUUAAUAAGUGAAUUAAGCGAAUGAUUUGUUGGGUAUCGACCAACGUUAAACAAUUAAUUUAAAGUCAGGAUAUAAAAUAAAGAUAAAACUUUUAGCAACGGAUCUCUAGGUUCUC
rnacentral:misc_RNA from 1 species